UUAAGUGACGAUAGCCUAGGAGAUACACCUGUACCCAUGCCGAACACAGCAGUUAAGCCCUAGAACGCCUGAUGUAGUUGGGGGUUGCCCCCUAUGAGAUAAGGUAGUCGCUUAGC
rnacentral:rRNA from 1 species